CCCAGCAAUACAGGCAAAUCCAUCAUUAACUGUUUCUUCUUGGAUACACUUAACCGUCGGUGCUGCUGGUCUGUCUAUCUAUCCGGGUUUUCUGGCAGAGUGGCAGCGGCUGCUGCAGUGGCUUGCACUGUUCUCUGUUCGCAGCAUUCCCAACCAUCUCCAUGCAAGAAGGGCCUUGAAACCCGCAUGUAACUUACUCAGCCCAGAAGGCCGGCCAGAAGCAUCCUCAGAGGAAUUAAUCCCGAUGAUUCACAUGGCUGCAGACACACUAGCCAGGCAUAACUAACUAGCUUCCAUCGCAGGGGGGACGAGCAGGUUUCAAGAUACGAUAUGGAUCAUAAUGAUACAAUAACUACUUCGGCAAUAACUAAUAGUAAUUUUUGAUUCAUUUUCUUGGUAUUAUUAUUAUUCUGACCCUGGUCAUUGGCAGGGUGGGAUUUGCGAUCCAUUCACAAUGGUGAUGAUAAUUAUAAGGGAUAAGCACUGUGAUACGGGGGUGAUAGAUGGGCACAGGUUAGAAGCGGAAAAGGGCAGAAGGAAGAAAAGUGAUAUGUGACAGUAAGUGAGUUCCCGAGCAGCUCUCCGUAGUUAGGGGGGAAUCUGGGUAUUUCUUUUUUUUCUCUCUCUCUUUUCUUUUUCUUUCUUUGCUUCUUUGAGCGGCUAUCAUAAGGAUCGAACUACUCCGUACAUGUCAAGUUAACGAAUUUGUAUGGGUUGAUAAUCACACCCCUCCCUUGAUGAAAAACGACGACACUAAUAAUGAUCAUACACGGCGAUGUUGUUCGCUUCCGGGCGUGGAAGCAGAGCAGCCCUUUGUGCUUUCUAGUAUGGAGAUAACGGAUGGAUGCUUCGUCCCUUUCUCUGCUUUGUACUGUACUGUACUUUGGUGUGCGGAGUAAAGCUUACACCGCAUGCAGAAAUACAUGGCUGCAUCGAGGAGGAGGAG
rnacentral:sRNA from 1 species